rnacentral:rRNA from 1 species
UACGUAGGGUGCAAGCGUUGUCCGGAAUUAUUGGGCGUAAAGGGCUCGUAGGCGGUCUGUCGCGUCUGCUGUGAAAACUCGGGGCUUAACCCCGGGCCUGCAGUGGGUACGGGCAGACUAGAGUGCGGUAGGGGAGACUGGAAUUCCUGGUGUAGCGGUGAAAUGCGCAGAUAUCAGGAGGAACACCGGUGGCGAAGGCGGUUCUCUGGGCAUGUCCUGACGCUGAGGAGCGAAAGUGUGGGGAGCGAACAGG